GAGAGUUUAGCUCAUUGGUAGAGUACAUGUCUGAUAUAUGUGAAACCUCAAGUCAACUCUCA
rnacentral:tRNA from 1 species